GACGAACGCUGGCGGCGUGCUUAACACAUGCAAGUCGAACGGUUAAGCCGAGCUUGCGUGGGGUGUCAGUGGCGAACGGGUGAGUAACACAUGAGUAAACUGCCCCUUUCACUGGGAUAUGCGUUGGAAACAAUGGGUAAUACCGCAGACGGGAGGACUUCCCGUGGGGAGGGGGUUGAAAGGUUUUGUGGGGAGGGAUGGGCCCGCGGCCUAUUAGCUUGUUGGUGGGGUAAGUGCCUACCAAGGCAAUGAAGGGUAGCCGGCCUGAGAGGGUGACCGGCCAGAUUGGGACUGAGAUACGGCCCAGACUCCUACGGGAGGCAGCAGUGGGGAAUGUUGCACAAUGGGCGGAAGCCUGAUGCAGCAACGCCGCGUGCGGGAUGACGGCCUUCGGGUUGUAAACCGCUUUCGCCAGGGACGAAGCGUGAGUGACGGUAAUGGGUAAAGAAGCACCGGCUAACUACGUG
rnacentral:rRNA from 1 species